AGUGAACGCUGGCGGCAGGCCUAACACAUGCAAGUCGAACGGAAGCACAGUAAGAGCUUGCCCUUACGGGUGGCGAGUGGCGGACGGGUGAGGAAUACAUCGGAAUCUACUUUUUCGUGGGGGAUAACGUAGGGAAACUUACGCUAAUACCGCAUAUGACCUACGGGUGAGAGCAGUGGAUAUUCGGAGCUUUCGCGAUUGAAUGAGCCGAUGUCGGAUUAGCUAGUUGGCGGGGUAAAGGCCCACCAAGGCGACGAUCCGUAGCUGGUCUGAGAGGAUGAUCGGCCACACUGGAACUGAGACACGGUCCAGACUCCUACGGGAGGCAGCAGUGGGGAAUAUUGGACAAUGGGCGCAAGCCUGAUCCAGCCAUACCGCGUGAGUGAAGAAGGCCUUCGGGUUGUAAAGCCCUUUUAUUGGGAAAGAAAAGCAGCAGAUUAAUACCCCGCUGUUCUGACGGUACCCAAAGAAUAAGCACCGGCUAACUUCGUG
rnacentral:rRNA from 1 species